CCUUGUUUAAUUUACGACGUACUUUGAAGGGGACACCAUUGCCGUUAAAUUAUCGCAAAGACCACGGAGAGAUGCUGUUUUGAGGGAAAUUCAACACGAACCUCACGGGAGGCCACUUUUUAUUAAGUUAUUUUUGUUCUAAUUGAUUUGUCUUUUCAUGGAAUAUUAACGAAUGGCUGAGAGAGCUUUGGGAUGACGUCGUUCCAAGAUGGACGUAUGGCGCCAUAACAACGUCUUCCUCGUAGCUGCGAUCUGAUCUUCCACCCCCGUCACUUCGGCGAAGUGACAAAAUGACGACUACUCGGCAAUUCAAUCUCCCGAACGCCGCUGCGGUAAAUGACCCCCCAAAAAAGGUACGAACCUGCUGGUUCUGGUACGCGGUGACGGUGGUGAAGACGGUCUCGGGGAAGGAGAAGGUGCGCGUGCCUUCCCCGGCGGGCACGGCCUUCACCGGGGACAACUCCUCACCGCACUCCUUGCGGAUCACGUGUGCCCGCGGCUGGUACUUGUGCAUGGAGUGCAGGAUUAUCUGGAUUGGGCGUCAGCAAAUUGUUCAUUUUGAGUGAGCUCAGAUUUUAUUGACACUAAUUGGCUGUAAUGCUUUUAUUUGUACUUCUACAGUGAAGCAGUUUAUUGCAGGGAUCCAGUUCGGAUUCACCCAAAAUAGAGGAUAUUCCAUAAUAUAGAGAUCAUAAAAAAUAUAUAUAUAUUUUUUUUUAAUGUAGUUUUACCUCCUACACACAUUUGAAAGAGAUCAAUGUGCCUUGAAAAAACUUUCCAUAUUUUUUUUUUCUUGCGAUACGAAUGCGCUUCAGAAUCCCACCGCUAGAGGGCGGCAGCAAACUUUACAACAUUCUGCCAUCAUCAAUUCACAUUGAUUUCCUUGCAGUAGAAGGACAAUACCAGUUGGUGGGGCUAACGCGCCCUUGAGCUGGUUUGCCAACCGCCCCAUCGCGGGACAAGGAAGGCCAAAACAUUAGGUACAGUUGUGUUUUGUGCGGAUUAUGUGGAGAGCAAAUUUUGUGCAAUUUCGCUCAUGGGAAAAAAAUGAAUGUUGGUGAGUUUGGCGGGGCCGGAACGAAUUCAUUGCAUUUCCAUUCAUUUCAUUGGGGAAAGAUGAUUUGAGAUAGGAGUGUGGUCAUGGAACAAGUCAGUCGUACUUCAAGGCACCACUAGCAGAUCAGCUAAAAGGUGUUUUUUUGGGGGUUUGUUUUUGUUUUUUCCUAACAAAAGGUAAAGUUUUACAUUUUUUACACCUACGUUUUACAUUUCUCUGAAGUUGAUGGUAAAUGAUUUUAUAGAAAAGCAGAAAAAUCUUGUUUGCCGGGGUUUUCGAAAAGCUUAACCUCCUGGGUUACGGAUCUCGCCCGAGGCCAAACGUCUAAAAUUUGCCUGAGUUUUGUCAAAUUAGGAUUUACGUGAUUUUCAAAUUGAGGAAAAUGUGCUUUAAAAAAAAAUGAAGUGUUAUGAUUGGAAUGCAGACCUCCCCUGAGGCCAAACCAUCCUAAUUUGCACCAGAAUUUAAAUAUAUACAUUUUUUUUUUAUUAAAUUUAAAAAUCAGGCUAUUUGAUAUUUAAAAAAUGUGUCCUUGGUGGAAAUUUGAGCUCUGCAGAGUGCCGUUAUAAAAUGUAUUUUCGCUGACACGUCACGUUUUUUUUUUUGUUUUUUUUUUUUUUUACAGGAGAUUUUGUGGUGUUUGAAAUUUGAAAUAAAUAGUGAAAAUAUCAAAUACAUGAAAACAUCUGUACCAAAAAAAACUACUAUGGAUAGUUUUCAAAUUAGAAAAAUAUUAUUCAACAUACAGCAAACAAUCUUAAUUUACUAGUAGUAAUUAUUAUUAAUAAUGGGCAGUUAGUAUUUAUUUUUAUAGACUUAUAAUAUUAAUAAUAAUAGUAAUAGAGGUGUUAACUCUGCAGGGUGCCAUUCAAGUCGUGAUGUGAUUUUUUUUUAUUUCUAAGAUGGGACUUGUUGACAUAAAAAAAAAUCGAAAUAAAGCAUAACAAAGUUUAUUUGUCAUUUUCUAAAAUCAAGAUAUUAAACCUCAAUGCAUAGAUACUUU